UACACGAAUAAAAAUAAUUCCAUUACGACCACGCGACAAAUACGAUCGCGAAGAGAUAAAAUAAUAUUUCAGCUAACAUCAGUGUCUAUUCUAAAGUUGCAAUGUUCGCGAGUACAAAAUACCGUCGCAACGACAAAUCAUCGAUAUUAUUCUCGUGAAUGUUCUCCAUCCGGCGGUUAAUAUCGCUCGAUUUGGCCGACGGCAAUCAAUCCGUCGUUUGUAUUCACCAAGUACUACGCGUAGUAAAUACGAUGUGUACUAUGAAAGGUACAUCGAGGCAUACUGUAAAUCGAUUCGAUAUUCGAGUCAGGGACUAACGAUAAACGUCGCAGUGCACGAUUCUUUCAUUCUUGUGAAAUUCUCAGUCAUACUGGAUUCUACAGAAGCUUUGUUUUGCCGUCGGUGUAAUUACAGGUACAGAGUACAACAUACAAUUCCUUUUUCUCUAUGGAAAAAGCGACUGCUUGCAGGUAAAGGGAGCAUCUCAAAGCGGCGGAACGAUUAGCUUGCAGGUAAAGGAGGCAUCUCAAAGCGACGGAACGAUUAGCUUCACGGUUUCAUCGCUGUCUAACGCGUAGCCUUCGUGGCGUGAAAUAGAAACACGCGCCACUUAUCGCACUGAUACACGAUGUAUUGUUCGCAUCAACAUGUACAUUCUACUUUCUCAAGUUUCGCGACGGACUUCU